rnacentral:piRNA from 2 species
ACAGCUGAUAUCUCCUGGUGCUAUCCCCA